GGAUGCCCUGGCAGUCAGAGGCGAUGAAGGACGUGCUAAUCUGCGAUAAGCGUCGGUAAGGUGAUAUGAACCGUUAUAACCGGCGAUUUCCGAAUGGGGAAACCCAGUGUGAUUCGUUACACUAUCAUUAACUGAAUCCAUAGGUUAAUGAGGCGAACCGGGGGAACUGAAACAUCUAAGUACCCCGAGGAAAAGAAAUCAACCGAGAUUCCCCCAGUAGCGGCGAGCGAACGGGGAGCAGCCCAGAGCCUGAAUCAGUGUGUGUGUUAGUGGAAGCGUCUGGAAAGGCGUGCGAUACAGGGUGACAGCCCCGUACACAAAAAUGCACAUAUUGUGAGCUCGAUGAGUAGGGCGGGACACGUGGUAUCCUGUCUGAAUAUGGGGGGACCAUCCUCCAAGGCUAAAUACUCCUGACUGACCGAUAGUGAACCAGUACCGUGAGGGAAAGGCGAAAAGAACCCCGGCGAGGGGAGUGAAAAAGAACCUGAAACCGUGUACGUACAAGCAGUGGGAGCACGCUUAGGCGUGUGACUGCGUACCUUUUGUAUAAUGGGUCAGCGACUUAUAUUCUGUAGCAAGGUUAACCGAAUAGGGGAGCCGAAGGGAAACCGAGUCUUAACUGGGCGUUAAGUUGCAGGGUAUAGACCCGAAACCCGGUGAUCUAGCCAUGGGCAGGUUGAAGGUUGGGUAACACUAACUGGAGGACCGAACCGACUAAUGUUGAAAAAUUAGCGGAUGACUUGUGGCUGGGGGUGAAAGGCCAAUCAAACCGGGAGAUAGCUGGUUCUCCCCGAAAGCUAUUUAGGUAGCGCCUCGUGAAUUCAUCUCCGGGGGUAGAGCACUGUUUCGGCAAGGGGGUCAUCCCGACUUACCAACCCGAUGCAAACUGCGAAUACCGGAGAAUGUUAUCACGGGAGACACACGGCGGGUGCUAACGUCCGUCGUGAAGAGGGAAACAACCCAGACCGCCAGCUAAGGUCCCAAAGUCAUGGUUAAGUGGGAAA
rnacentral:rRNA from 1 species